CGUCCUGCCACGGCCAGGGAUGGUCACCCUGCAGGAGGCGGGGAGAAAUGCCCAAAGCAGGGGAGCUUGCCUUGUCCUGGAGCGUUGUCACCUGUCGAGCAGCGACCCUGAGGGAGGGUCGGAGCACCCUCUGCACCAGCUGGCCUGGAGUCACGCCCUCCUCGGGGGAGAGCUCGAGGCAGAGAAGCUUCCCGGGGCAGUUGUCUGUGUCCGGGAGCCUGCAUUGCUCGUGUGGAGCGUGUUUGGUGAAGGAGACUCCACUGUCUGCUGCGAGGUUGAGCUCUACAGGCUCUCAGGACAGCCCCGGGAACAACCCCAGCAGCAGCACCAGCAGGCAGGACUCGUUGCACAAAGCCCCGAAGAAGAAGGGCAUCAAGUCCUCCAUCAGCCGCUUGUUUCGCAAGAAGAAAAAGGGCCGGCCUGAGCACCCCGGCAAGGAGGCGUUAGCACCAGGCAGGAUCUUUACCCCUAGCACCACCUGGAAAGCCCCAGUGAACGCUGACAACUAGAAAUGCAGAAAAUCCGAGCUGCUCCUAAGGUAAACUGGGAGAGCAGCAAGCACAGGUUGUAAAGACAAAGACACAGGAUGAGCGACAACGCGCCCACAGAGACAGGCAGGAAUGCGGUCACCCACAUAAAGGAAAUGUCUGUGCCGUUCGGAAGAGGAGCCGGCCAGCCCUUGGAGGGACAGUUGGAAUCGGAAUGAAAACCGAGACAAUGGUCAGCAGUGCCCACCCACACGGCCCGGGUGGCGUGGUGUCACUCACCGGGCUUCCUGCGUCCCCAGAGCUGCUGGUGGGAAGAUCUCUGAGUGCCAGGCCGGGCAGCGUCCCCGUGUGAGCUAAGGCAUCACUGCUAUCCUUCCAGUGCUGCUGUGGGCCCCUCUGUGGGCGGCCACCCUCAUCCCCUGCCCUGCCACCCACUCGGGCUGGGCUCUCCCUCUGGGAUCUUUUCAGGCCUUGAACUUGGGUGUUCCCAGCCCUCUGCCACGCCGGACUGGGACGCAGCUCAGGACUUGGCCUUGAGAUAUCAAGGAGACCUUGAAUCUGGAAGGACACCACCAUGGGAGCAGGAGAGCAAAGCCCACACGGGGAGGAAGCAGAGCUGGGGAACGUGCCCGCAGCCUCCACUGCGUCCUGCACAAGUGCCUCCUCUUUGCCUCUCUUUGACCUGAAACAACCCCCAGCUGCUGCUGCUCCACAGGUGAUUCCUAAAAAUGCACCUCCUGCAAGAGCUAUCGUCCUGCUGCUCUGGGGCUGCCUCAGUGUGUUCAGGAGUGUCAGACAAGUAGGGCUGCCACACCUCAUACUGGAGGUGGGGGGCCUGAUACUGGGGAAGGGUCGGAGGUUGGGGAAGGGUCUGAGGGUGGGGGGAGGGCCUGAUACUGGACUAGGGGCUGAUGCUGGGGGAAUGUCUGAUGCUGGACUAGGGCCUGAUGCUGGACGAGGGCCUGACACUGGGGAAGGGUCUGAUGCUGGGGGAAGGCCUGAUGUUCAACUAGGGUCUGACACUCGGUGAGGGUCUGAUGCUGGGGGAGGGCCUGGUGGUGGACUAGGGUUCGACACUUGGCGAGGGUCUGUUCCUGGGGAAGGGUCUGAUGCUGGGGGAGGGUCUGAUACUGGACUAGAACCUGAUGCUGGGUGGAAGCUCUUGAUGCUGGAGUAGGACCUGAUGUUGGGGGAGUGCCUGAUGCUGUGGAAGGGUCUGAGACUGGAGUAGGGCCUGAUGGUGGACUAGGGCCUGAUACCGGACUAAGGUCUGAUGCUGGGGGAGCGUCUGAUGCUGGACUAGGUUCUGAUGCUGGGGGAGCGUCUGAUGCUGGAGUAGGGCCUGAUGAUGGACGAGGGCCUGACACUGGGGAAGGGUCUGACGCUGGUGGAGGGCCUGAUGCUGGGGGAAGGUCUGAUGCUGGAUUAAGGCCUGAUGCUGGGGGCACAUCUGAUGCUGGACCGGGGCCUGAUGCUGUAGGAGGGCCUGAUGCUGGGGGUAAGGUCUGAUGAUGGUGGACAGCCUGCUCCCAGAUGUGCAUGGAGUUGAGGAUAAAUCUCUAUGAGAAAUCUUUUUUUCAUACUUUCCUGACCACCUUGCUAUGUUCUUUUUAACUUAAAGAUAAUUUUGUGCGAUAUCGGUUGAUUUCUGCCGUACAUCAACAUGAAUUAGCCAUAGGUGUACGUAUGUCCCGUCCCUCUUGAAUCUCCCUCCCACCUCCCCUUGCUACAUUCUUGUUUCUAUGGAUAUAUGAAUAAUAUUCUGUUGACUAAAAUAACAUGAAAAGCUCCCACACACAAGUGUGCACACACACACUCCCUAGUGCAUCAUUCGGGUCCGCGUCAGGGUUGCCCUCGGCACCCCCGCCCUGGGACCGACGGUGAGCCUCGACACCUGCAUUUUAUUCCCACCCUCGGCCUGCUGCCCGCACCUCAACAGCAGAGGGGCCCGCAGAUGCUGAAGUGAUGGAGCCUCUUGUCUCCGGAGCCAAGGGCAUGAAUACACCAUCAGUCGUCCUCUGGGGACACCUGUGCUUCCGCCUUCUGGCCUUUCCAUUGUAUCCGUCCAUUUCUCUUAACAGAAUGUCCGUGUGAUGACAUGGGCUCCCAUUACCAGCUCUGGUCUGUUCUCAGUUUGUUCUCUGAGUACAGCUUACCCUCCGCACACUUCAUUGGCCCUGGGAAAUUUUGCUUCAGUACUUUAUUGAAAGAAAGCAAUAAAAAAAUCCUGUGACAAACAUAGUUCAAAAGUAGCCUGUACAUACUUUGUCACAUAUUCGAGAAGUUCACAAAAGAUUAAUAGGAAAAUAGAACGAUAAUGAAUUGUACAAGUAAAUUAAAGAUGGAACCCACAUGUAAAGAGACAUGCUGUCUCUGUCUACCGAGAUACCAGCUGCAUAAUAAAUACCGCACCAUGACCUGAACGCAUCUCUUGCUGGCUUUUUUAAUGUGCCGCUGAAAGAGUAAAAGUCACAUUUGAUACUUAUACAAUCCAGAACAGCUACGUCAUCACAAUCUAAAAAUGUACACCUAGGUCCAUUCUUUCAACGUGUUUACAAACAGAGGUAAAAAGAUGAUUUACAUAAAAAUAAGGCCUUUGUCAGAGCUGCACUCCACUGUCUGGGAAGUGGCACCUUCACUGUCCAGCUCCAUGGCUCCGCAGCGGGUGCAGGGCAUCGCGAUUGGUCCCCAAAGCAUCUCACCAGAGAGGAGGGAUCCGGGUCCACAGAGACUAGGUUACGGGAGAGAUUUUCAUAGUCGUCUAGUCAUCCUUUCAGCCCAAAUUUCAGUAGAAGCUCACAUUUAACAUUCAGUACUUCUAAAUCACUUCACGCUGCAGACAAAAAGCAUUUCUUCCUAGAAAAAGUACAGUAUAGCCAGUCGUUGAAAUCCAACAACAGUAGGUUGAAAUUAAGUUUGCGUAUUUCAGACUGAUUGUUGGAGAGCUUGAUUACAUUCUGGAAGGAUAAUGCACACCGUGUCAUGAUGAUUUUACAAUUGCAGGAAAACCCCUUCUCUGAUGGUUUAACAUUUAACAAUUAAGAGUAAUUACAAUAAAUGCAUCAUUUACAGAAGCCCUAUAUUUGGUCAUAGGAUUUAUACAGACAAGCACUACAGUACAUUCAUUUGAAAGACUAAAAUCAGGUAUCAGAACAUGAAUUGAUCUGAAAGAAUAUUUAUAGCCUGAAUAUACAAGAAAAAGUAAGUAAUAAUAUAAAUGAAGUCAUAAGUUUACAUAAAUAUAAAUAUAAGAAACUAUUAAAUUCUAAAGUAUUUUCUCUGGUAUUCAUGAAUUUUUCACUAAUUAAAAACCCUGUAAUAAAAUAUCUUCGGUUCCAUGUAACAAGUCUUACAGUAAAGAUUGCAUCGAGUUCAAAAUGUAGUCUUUGUUGUAUUCUGGACGCUAUAAUCAUCUGGAGAAUUAGUGCAGGUAAACUGGAAACAAACAGACGAGUCAGUCCUGGGAUGGCAGCUGGUGCCCGAGCCCCUGCCCCUCCAGACACCCCCCAACCCACUCGGGGCUUCAGCUGCUUUGAGAAUUCAGAGAAAUGUGGAGGACCAAGCAGAUCAAGGAGAGAACUCUGGCUGACUUUAUUCUGACAUAUAGCUAAAAGCUGCUGGUAAAAAAAAACCCUCAAAAGCCCAAUCCAGCUUUCUAGCUGAGACGUGAACAGGACCCAGAGCAGGCAGCCUCCUGCCCUCAGAGCCGCGCGAGCAGGGCUGGGCCCCCGGGCGGGACCCACCAGAG
ensembl:lincRNA